rnacentral:lncRNA from 1 species
AGGCUGCGCAGCUGCGUCUGCGGGCGGGGAGCCGGGGCGGCCGUGGGCUUCCUCCGGGCGCGGGCUGACGGCUGCCGCCUGUGGGCGCCCCAGCCCUGCAGCCGAGCGGGAGGGGCGGACCAGCGGGUGUCGGGAGCAGGCUGCAGCGGCCAGGCCUCUGCGGCUUCUCGGAGUACUGGGUCCACUGGAGAGCGAAGAGCCGCGGCCGCCAGGAUUCCCAGCAGCGGCCGCGUGUUGAGAGCCUAGAAGUGGCCCCGAAGCCGUGCCUUUCCCGAUAGCCAAGCAGAAGUAGGACUUGAAGCACCGAGGCUGGGAUGCCCAUGCUGGUGACGCCUUGGGGCUCGCAGUUAUACUUGGUGACCGGUCUACACGGCGAUUCGGUGCUUUCCGGAGUAGCAGAUUCAUCUAUCUUUAGACCCACCUUCGUCCUUCGGCGGUUUAGCACGGCCUGCGCUUUCCUGCGAGCCCUGCUGUCACCCGAACAGCCUGAUGACUUCACGCUCAACCACUGGAGGGCACAACCACAUCAUUUUUAAAAAAUAGAUUCCUCCACUUAAAGGACAUGGUUUUGGGGGAAAGAACAUUUAAAAAAUGUAAAAAGAUAUAUAUCUAUAUCUAUAUAUCUAUCUCAGAUUGUUCUGAUAUAAACUCAGGUGGGAUUCUUCAAAACAGGAGGCUGUUCCAGUCUCUUCAUUUUGCAGCUGAGAAAACGAAGGCCUUGGAGCUUGAGAACUCCAGUUGCCCAAGGCACACAGGUGGUGGGUAAGGAAGCUGAUCAUGUCUCCAAAGAAUCCUUCCAUGACCCAGGAGGAUCCGGUGGGAGAGCAGGGCCGUCCACAGCUCAGCUAGGACACAAGAAGGCCCGGGGUGGCAGGAGCCCCACUGUGUGCUGCGGAGGAUGGCAGAGGAAGUCAGCAUUGUCCCGAAACUGCAGGAUCAUGUGAUGUGAUGGGAAAAAAUUAUGAGUACAAGACACAGGAAGAGCAGGUCACGGAAACACAUGGUGCCCAGAAGGGCUUAAUUAGUAGCAGCUGUGCGGGGUGAUGCACAGAGUGCCCCAAGGGUGUCCUGAGUGAGGGUGGAUGUCCCCUGCCCUCUGGCUUCGUGAAGGCUUCGUGAAGCCUGCCGGGUCACCCUUGUUUUCAUGGAUAGCUUCUUUAGGACACUCUCUCCACCAGUAAUUGACAAAGUCUGCUUCUGUUGAGUGUCUGAUAAAGGAUUGAGUUUACAUGAUUGUUAAGAUAGGAUCAUGAAAGAAGACAGAAGACGGAUGUGAGUGGCCCUCAGAAAAAAAGCAUCAAAGGAAACUGAGGAGUCUGUGUUCCGAGUUAUAACAUCAGUCCUGUGUGUAAGUGCUGAGUUUCAGCUCUGCCCAAGGCUAGGGGUUGCCUAGUCGGCUUCAACUGUAAGCUCCUAAGGGACAGUGCUGCCCCUUGAGAUGACUGGGCAGCCAUCAGCUUCAUGCUAGAGGCUUUAAAGCAAACCCAAGAUGGAGUCUCAGUACUGAUUAUUUGGGCCAGUGCCUUUCUUAACAUUUCACGGAUAUAUUCCUUUAUUUUAUUUGUUGUAUUUUAGUACAGUUUUGCUCUAUUCAGUCAUGGUCAUUCUUAGUUGCUGUUGUCUUUGUAAACUUAUUUAAUAUCUUUUAAAUAUUAAAAGAUUAAAUAAAUUAUUUUCUAAUAAAUUCUUUUAAUAUUAAAAUAUUAAUUUUUGAUAAGAACCUUGUUUACUCUCAAGAUUAAUGUAGUAAAUAAAGAAGACUAAAAACUUCAGAGACUGAAAGCUGCUGAGAAUGUGUAAGAGAAACCUGGUUGUCAAACGCAAUCCUGAUCUUUUAUCAGGCAUCUGUAUCAAUGUGGAUGAUCUAACCGUGGUUAACUUCAUGAAGAAGGAAGAUAUUUGAUUUUCAUCUGUUUAAAGAAACAAUCUGUUUCUUCUAAAAGUAUAUACUCUAAAACACAAACCACUUGGCUGGGAAAUAAAAGAUGGUUAUGCUUUAUCAUUUAUAUAAGCCUGGCCUUUCUCCAAAAUGAUUUUGAUAUAGCUUACAACAAAAAACGUGUUAGGCUUAAUAAAAGAAGAAUGGAAAUGGAAACUAAGGAUCAACAGAAAAGAGUAUCACAAAUACGGUAAUACUAGCAUAUGGUAAUAUUAUUUCUGUAUUUGAGUGUAAAACGUGGCUGUGAGCUUCCUGGAGGCCAAGGCAAAAAUAGAGACAAGAGCAACGUGCAUAAUAUCAUUAGCAGACAGAAAGAUCAUGUGACUUUUUAAUUUUUUUCCCGGAAACUGAAUCUAAAAAGAAUCGCUCUAUAUAAUGACUCAUAUAUAUGGUUUUAAGUGAAAAAAUGAUGAACACUGUCCUCCAUGAGAGUUUUGGCACAAAUUGAAGGAGGUAAGAACUGAUAUUGAAGCACAACUCAGUGAAGUUAAUCCUGUCAGGCUAGGUUCACACAAGAAAACUUCUGACAAAAUCCUAGAAUUCCGGCAAAUGCAGGCAUGGAAUGAGAGAUUCCUAUUCCAUCUGCCUCGUUGUGCCUGGGGCCAGGCCUGAGUGUUGAAGACAGCUUGUUCCAAUGUAAGAUCAAAUGAGAUUGUUCAUAACAGGAGUCUGCAGGAAUAUGGCACCUCUGAUUUGAAAUGAUGGAUGAUUUUCAUCAGCCGUGUAUCUGCUUCCUUGGCAGCACCCCAAGUGCAGACCCCAGGCUGUUUCAGUGUGUCAUCUGGCAGGCCCAAACAGAGGAUGUCUCAAUUGUGCAUGUGUAACACAGCUUUAAUUCAUAAUUUCAUUUCUGGAUGGAAUUUUGAGCAGAUGGGCAUUGCUGUCCUUUUUAAUGGUAAAAAAUCAAUGAAAGACACCGUGGUUUUGAAAUUAAUGAGCACUUGAAAAAUACCAGCUUUGUUUGGCUUUGCGUUUUCUUUUUUCCUCUCCUCCUAAGUUGUUUGCAGCAAAAUAUUCAAUUGAAAACUCAACAUGUCCACUGCCUCCCAAAAAAAAAAAAAAAUUCUGUGGAAAGUCUCCACUAACAGGAAGAGAGAAGUUCUUCACAGUUUGGUUUUAUUUUUCAAUGAUAGUCAUUGCCUCAUUUUUAAAGCAUUUAUAAUAAAUUAAGCAAGUAACACUUGUGUACCAGUUUCUAAUCAGUUUCUAAUGUGCCUGGAACUUGCUGGGCUACAAAGAAAAGGAUCAACUAUUUUUUUUCCUGCACCCAAAGAUAUUGCAAUCUUAUCGGAGAAGGGAAACUGAGGCAUGUGUUACAGUUAGAGGACUAGGAAGCACUAAUCUGUGUCAGACUCCAAAGUGCAAAUUCAAAGGAAAGACCAUUGUUGGAGGGAGUGAUCCGGAAGAAUUCCUAGCCCUUACCUGUCUCAGUCAUGCUUCUUGCCAAAGAAAAAGAGAAAUCUCCAAGUAUCUUAAUGCUUUCAGCGCUUCUCCAAUCUGACAAAUAUUUAUUCAGAUUCGAACUGACUGCCCAAGCUUCACUGCAGCUCCUCGUUUCCUGUUAGAUCUUUUUAAAAAUCUUUGCUUAAAACAUUGAAGGCUGAACGAUGAGCAAGAAAAUCUUGCCUGUGAAUAAGACACUGGGAACUGCACAGAAUCAACAUCAGCUCACAAGCUCAUCAUCUCACGCACGGAUUCCUGAGCACAUUCUCGCAUUCUUGCUCUUAAUCCUCCCUUGGCGACCUUCUACUCAGACAUCAUCUUUUAUGCAGAGAAGCAGGCACGUUUCUCAUCAUUAAUUCUGUUCUCAGCCAGGUGUGUAGCCACAGAGCAUACAGACCACAGGAUGAUUGAAAGCAUAUUGACUUUCCUGACUUCUUAUGACCACAUUUGAGGAAAGGAGUAAGCACUGGAAUCACCAACACAGCAUGCUUACGGAGGGUGGUCACCAGCUUCAUCAGCCUCCCAAUUCCACGGAGCCCCUUGAAAAUCCAGGAGCGCAGACUGGCAACAGUAGAGAUUUAAUAGGCUAUUGCUGAGCUGAAGAGUGGGA